CAGCCGCCGCGGUAAUACGGAGGGUGCAAGCGUUAUCCGGAUUCACUGGGUUUAAAGGGUGCGUAGGCGGGCAGGUAAGUCAGUGGUGAAAUCCUGGAGCUCAACUCCAGAACUGCCAUUGAUACUAUCUGUCUUGAAUAUUGUGGAGGUAAGCGGAAUAUGUCAUGUAGCGGUGAAAUGCUUAGAUAUGACAUAGAACACCCAUUGCGAAGGCAGCUUACUACGCAUAUAUUGACGCUGAGGCACGAAAGCGUGGGGAUCAAACAGGAUUAGAUACCCUGGUAGUCCACGCCCUAAACGAUGGAUACUCGACAUACGCGAUACACUGUGUGUGUCUGAGCGAAAGCAUUAAGUAUCCCACCUGGGAAGUACGUUCGCAAGAAUGAAACUCAAAGGAAUUGGCGGGGGAGCACAU
rnacentral:rRNA from 1 species